UACAGAGACUGCAAGCGUUAUUCGGAUUCACUGGGCGUAAAGGGUGCGCAGGCGGCCGUGUGUGUGAGGCGUGAAAGCCCGGGGCUUAACCCCGGAAUUGCACCUCAAACUACAUGGCUAGAGCAUUGGAGAGGGUAGCAGAAUUCAUGGUGUAGCAGUGAAAUGCGUAGAUAUCAGGAGGAACACCGGUGGCGAAGGCGCCACUCUGGGCCACGACUGACGCUGAGGAGCGAAAGCAUGGGUAGCAAACAGG
rnacentral:rRNA from 1 species